rnacentral:rRNA from 1 species
CUAAGCACACUGUUGGUUAUGUGUGCCCAAGCAUUGAGGCAGUCAAAGUAGGCAAAUCCGCUUUGAUAAUGCUGGGAUGUGAUGGGGAGCGAAAUUUAGUAGCGAAGUAGCUGAUUUCACACUGUCAAGAAAAGUCUCUAUCGAGGUUAAAGGUACCCGUACCGCAAACCGACACAGGUGGGUGAGGAGAGUAUCCUAAGGCCAGCGAGAGAACUGUUGUUAAGGAACUCGGCAAAAUGACCCCGUAACUUAGGGAUAAGGGGUGCCACCAUCAGGUGGCCGCAGAGAAUAGGCCCAAGCGACUGUUUACCAAAAACAUAGGUUUCUGCUAAGUCGCAAGACGAUGUAUAGGAGCUGACGCCUGCCCGGUGCUGGAAGGUUAAGGGGAUCUGUUAGAGCAAUCGAAGCAGUGAACUUAAGCCCCAGUAAACGGCGGCCGUAACUAUAACGGUCCUAAGGUAGCGAAAUUCCUUGUCGGGUAAGUUCCGACCCGCACGAAAGGCGUAACGAUUUGGGCACUGUCUCAACAACAGACUCGGUGAAAUUGUAAUUCCGGUGAAGAUGCCGGAUACCUGCGACAGGACGGAAAGACCCCAUGGAGCUUUACUGUAGCUUGACAUUGGGUCUUGGUACUACAUGUACAGGAUAGGUGGGAGGCUUUGAAACCAGGACGCCAGUUUUGGCGGAGCCAUCCUUGGGAUACCACCCUUGUAGUACUGGGACUCUAACCAUAGGCCAUGAAUCUGGUCUUGGGACACUGUCAGGUGGGCAGUUUGACUGGGGCGGUCGCCUCCCAAAAGGUAACGGAGGCGCUCAAAGGUUCUCUCAGUACGGUCGGAAAUCGUACGUAGAGUGUAAAGGCAAAAGAGAGCUUGAUUGCAAGACAUACAGGUCGAGCAAGGAUGAAAAUCGGACUUAGUGAUCCGGUGGUUCUGCGUGGAAGGGCCAUCGCUCAACGGAUAAAAGCUACCCUGGGGAUAACAGGCUUAUCUCCCCCAAGAGUCCACAUCGACGGGGAGGUUUGGCACCUCGAUGUCGGCUCAUCACAUCCUGGGGCUGUAGUAGGUCCCAAGGGUUGGGCUGUUCGCCCAUUAAAGUGGUACGCGAGCUGGGUUCAGAACGUCGUGAGACAGUUCGGUCCCUAUCCGUCGCAGGCGUAGGAAAUUUGAGAAGACCUGUCCUUAGUACGAGAGGACCGGGAUGGACGUACCUCUGGUGUACCAGUUGUCCUGCCAAGGGCAUGGCUGGGUAGCUAUGUACGGAAUGGAUAAGCGCUGAAAGCAUCUAAGCGCGAAGCCAACUUCAAGAUAAGAUUUCCCACCGCAAGGGUAAGACCCCAGAAAGACUAUCUGGUUGAUAGGUCGAAGGUGUAAGUGCAGCAAUGUAUUUAGCUUAUCGAUACUAAUAG